ensembl:lncRNA
CAUUGAGAAGGCCCUUUAGUUCUGCUGGACUUAAUGAGCUUGUGCUGAAACCCAGGUGUGAAAUACCCUCAUGGGGGGUACUUCCCCAGUGGGUGGGAGUCAGCACCCUUCCUGCACGGCUUCCCUGAGGUUCAUGAGCUGUAGCUGGCAAGCCACAACGCAUUCCGAGGAUUCAGACACAGGUACUUGCUGUUUACCUGCCUGGGACUAACAUCACUUAAAUAUACUUGCUGGUAGUAAAUUAGGUACUUGCAUAGGAAGUAAACGCUCGG